GGAUGGAUGAAAUGUAGCCCUGUUCUGUAAUUUACUUGGCAGUCGGAACAUUAGUAUCCGAACGUGUUCCACGACGACCACUUUCAAUUGUUGCACAUAAGUAGUGCCAGAACGGGUCCGUUCGAAAUUUAAAACUAACAGUAAUAUACUAAGCACUGUUAACAGUAAAAUAGUACCACUUAUUUAUUUGAUGAAAAAAUGAUAUGGUAAAUCUAUGACAGAAACACGAACAAGUGCGUGGAAGUGGGUAAGAUUUGUUUCUCGCUGUGGCCAUGCUGGAUUAAAGCACUUAGCAGCAAUGGACUCGUCGAAAGAGUCUCCGAACUGGAUUCUGCAACAUCCGGUGUAUCACGUUAUGAAGAACCUUGGCGUGGAAGACAGUGCACAAGUGCAUGCUGCUUUUCUUGUUUACAUGGAUCUUACUGAGCUGCGUAACUGGAAGGAGGUGUCCUGUGUUAAAAGUGAUGAACUCCAGCUUGUUUUGUUAGAGGGAAAAGAGACGGAAGGCUCGCCUAUGCAGACAGUUUUUCCAGUGCCUGUGAGUCAGUUCAUAUGCCACAGAAGUGUACGACACGUGCUGGACAGAGGCUUUCCGAUGCUCCUGUGCGCCGUGGCUUCAGACUCCACGUUAGUCUACCAGAGGUUGACUGAUGGCUUGGUGACCCCCGACCCACCUGUAGGUCCUUUCCAAGAUGUUGGACGCCGCAAGCACAGGAAGAGACGACAGCAGCACUGAGCAAUUGGUGCAUGUCUAUGGAAGUGGGAGGAAGCCGGAGUACCCGGAGGGAACCCACACAUUCACGGGGAGGACAUGGAAACUCCACACAGAAAGAUCCCGAGCCCGGGAUUGAACCCUGACUACUCAGGACCUUCGUAUAUACAUUCAUCCUGAAGAAUUCUUGCUGACUCUCUGAAGAAUGGAUGCUUCUGUGAGGAAAUAACAUGUCUUGAGGUAUGCAGCGUGCAAUUGUGUAGGUUCUGACAUGAUGGCUACACAGUACAUGUGAAGCUAUGAUAAUGCACAAGCACAAAAAGCAAAACGAGACAAUGACUCUUACAGCAUCUUUCCAUUGGAUCCUGUUUCAUCCAUGUGUUGACUUUUCCCAAGUAAAGCACUUUUCUCCUGCAAGAUACAAACAUAGGAUCCAAACAUAAACAUUUUUACAAAUUUGUCAUAA